rnacentral:rRNA from 1 species
UACAGAGGGGGCAAGCGUUGUUCGGAAUUACUGGGCGUAAAGGGUGCGUAGGUGGCCCUGUAAGUCAGUGGUGAAAUAUCUCAGCUUAACUGAGAGGGUGCCAUUGAUACUGCAGGGCUUGAGUACAGAUGAGGUAGGCGGAAUUGACGGUGUAGCGGUGAAAUGCAUAGAUAUCGUCAAGAACACCGAUAGCGAAGGCAGCUUACCAAGCUGUAACUGACACUGAGGCACGAAAGUGUGGGGAUCAAACAGG